GCCUGGAAUCGAACCAACAACCUUGUGCUUCCCAGCACACCUUCUCUAACCCCUGCGCCACGAAGAAAUGGCACGAUCAGCUGGAGAAAGACUCCUCAAGGAGCCAGAGUGCUGACUAGCAAGCAUUUUAAGAAAGACUAAUUGUCUACACUCGUUAAUUUCUUUUAAUACUUUCAAGGUGCCUUAGGAAUGAAACGUCUUGCAGCAAUGGGCCAACAUUCUCAACAUUUACAGAUGUGUCAUUCUGCCUGUUUUGUCCCAUUUGAAGUAGCACAGCAAGACUUCUACUUAAAUGUUUCUUUGCUUUGUUUCACAGGUUGCAGGAAUUCAAAAAUCUCUCAACACUGCCGUGAGUGACGGACAUAAGAGAGGGCUUGAAAACUCACCUCUUCCACUCCUCCUCUCCUUCCCAGAACUCAUAGACGACAAAGGAUACACCGUCCGGCAGGCGCACCGCAUUCACACUGGAGCGGAGACAGAGGAGAAUGGCAAUGAGUGGGUGAUAGUCAGCAAGGUUACGGUUGGAGAAGUGAGAUUAUGACAGAAUGUUGGGGCUAGAUGGCGGUGCACCGAUGAAGAUGACUGGAGGAGUGUUCAGGAAGAGCAAGCCGGGACAUCAACAUCUCGAGGUGCAACGUGCUAGCUAAAAGCUCUGCCCACCUCUCCCCACUCCGUGCGUGAGCUGCGCGGGAAAGGGGGCGAUUGACGUCAAGACAACCCGUUUCAUUGGAGGUUUACCCUGCCAGCCAUCGGACAUCCCACGACGUGUGACCUCUGCGGUUGUAUGGGUAAUCACUGCACCACAUUUCAACACACUGAUCCAUGAACCAGCAGGCGGCGUGUGCAGCCGAACAGAACUGUCUGUGAACUGAACGAACUAGCCGCGCUGUGCGCCCACACACACACCCAAGCACGCAGACGCUAACAGCACCUACUGAACUGAACUGAACAGCAACGGAGCUGACACCAACACGUACACACACACACGCACCCAUACACACCGGAGUGACCCGGUUAGCUCAUGCGGACUGGCACAGCAGACGCUGAGUAACUGUUUAUUUUGCCAUCUAAAGUAAGUUUAUUGGAAUGUGAAUGUGAAAUGCCUUUAGAAGUAAGCUAUAUUCUCUGUUAAGUUUACUGUUCUGGUUAAAGGGAGCCAUUUUUAGUUGUCAUAAGGGUGAACGUUGCUUCCCCAGGUUCCAUGAGAACUUACAAUAGACGGGUAUGGCCCACUAAGUGCCAAGUUAAGCACCCAAUGUUUGAUGAUGAAGUGAAACAGAGGUAUUGAGUAGCCAUUCGUGAGGUUUCUAGGUGACUAUAUUAAUGAAACCAUCCCAUAUAACUGUCUCGUAUUUGAAUAUGUUUUUCUUGUGCUCUGUGUUUAUCCUUGAGUAAACAAUAGAGGGAA